rnacentral:rRNA from 1 species
UGGGGAAUAUUGCACAAUGGGGGAAACCCUGAUGCAGCGACGCCGCGUGAGUGAAGAAGUAUUUCGGUAUGUAAAGCUCUAUCAGCAGGGAAGAUAAUGACGGUACCUGACUAAGAAGCACCGGCUAAAUACGUGCCAGCAGCCGCGGUAAUACGUAUGGUGCAAGCGUUAUCCGGAUUUACUGGGUGUAAAGGGUGCGUAGGUGGCAAGGCAAGUCUGAAGUGAAAAUCCGGGGCUCAACCCCGGAACUGCUUUGGAAACUGUUUAGCUAGAGUACAGGAGAGGUAAGUGGAAUUCCUAGUGUAGCGGUGAAAUGCGUAGAUAUUAGGAGGAACACCAGUGGCGAAGGCGACUUACUGGACUGGUACUGACACUGAGGCACGAAAGCGUGGGGAGCAAACAGG